rnacentral:rRNA from 1 species
UACAGAGGUCCCAAGCGUUGUUCGGAUUCACUGGGCGUAAAGGGUGCGCAGGUGGGCUGGUAAGUUCGAUGUGAAAGCCCCGGGCUUAACCCGGGAAUGGCAUUGGAUACUACCGGUCUGGAGGAUCGGAGGGGGGACUGGAAUUCUUGGUGUAGCAGUGAAAUGCGUAGAUAUCUGGAGGAAUACCGGUGGCGAAGGCGGCAUCCUGGACCGGCAUUGACGCUGAUGAGCGAAAGCUAGGGGAGCAAACGGG